GGGGGCAUAGCUCAGUGGUAGAGCAUCCGACUGCAGAUCGGAUUGUCCCCGGCUCAAACCCGGGUGCUCCCU
rnacentral:tRNA from 1 species